GUAGACUGCUCGUGCUUUACAGCCGCAGUACCCUGACUGUGCAAAGGUAGCAUAAUAAAUUGCCUUUUAAUUGGUGGCCGGUAUGUAAGGUUAAACUGACUAGAAGGUCUCAAACCUCAAAAUUAGGUUAGAGGUAAGAACGCCUCUAUCAAUCCCUAGGACGAGAAGACCCUAGAAGCUUAAAGAGGCUUUUGGUUGGGG
rnacentral:rRNA from 1 species